rnacentral:rRNA from 1 species
UUGAACGCUGGCGGCAUGCCUUACACAUGCAAGUCGAACGGCAGCACGGGGGCAACCCUGGUGGCGAGUGGCGAACGGGUGAGUAAUACAUCGGAACGUGCCCUGAAGUGGGGGAUAACGUAGCGAAAGUUACGCUAAUACCGCAUAUUCUGUGAGCAGGAAAGCAGGGGAUCGCAAGACCUUGCGCUUUAGGAGCGGCCGAUGUCGGAUUAGCUAGUUGGUGAGGUAAAGGCUCACCAAGGCGACGAUCCGUAGCGGGUCUGAGAGGAUGAUCCGCCACACUGGGACUGAGACACGGCCCAGACUCCUACGGGAGGCAGCAGUGGGGAAUUUUGGACAAUGGGGGCAACCCUGAUCCAGCCAUGCCGCGUGAGUGAAGAAGGCCUUCGGGUUGUAAAGCUCUUUCAGACGGAAAGAAAACGCAUCGGUGAAUACCCGGUGUGGAUGACGGUACCGUAAGAAGAAGCACCGGCUAACUACGU